UUAAAUUAGUAAGAGCGUACGGUGGAUGUCUUGGCAUAUAGAGCAGAAGAAGGACGCAGAUAACGGCGAAACGCCUCGGGGAGUCGUACACAGGCAACGAUCCGGGGGUAUCCGAAUGGGGAAACCCGAUAAAGUUGAAAAGCUUUAUCAUCCUUAAGCCAAUACAUAACUUAAGAGAAGGCAACCCAGGGAAUUGAAACAUCUUAGUACCUGGAGGAGAAGAAAAUAACAAUGAUUCCGAGAGUAGUGGCGAGCGAAAUCGGAGCAGCCCAAACCAGCAACGAGCUGGGGUAGUAGGACCACAAUAAGUGAUUGAAAAGAGAUAGUCGAAUGGCAUUGAAAGGUCAGCCGCAGAAGGUGCAAGCCCUGUAGGCGAAAUCUCGAUUCACGCGAGUGGGAUCCUGAGUACGUCGGAGCACGUGAAACUCUGACGGAAUCAACCGGGACCAUCCGGUAAGGCUAAAUACUCCUAUAUGACCGAUAGUGAACCAGUACCAUGAGGGAAAGAUGAAAAGAACCGCGGGAGCGGAGUGAAAUAGAUCCUGAAACCGUAUGCUUACAAAAAGUCAGAGCACAUUAAGGUGUGAUGGCGUGCCUUUUGUAGAAUGAACCGGCGAGUUAUCUUUACAUGCGAGGUUAAGCAGACAAUGCGGAGCCGUAGCGAAAGCGAAUCUUAAUAGGGUGGCAAGUAUGUAGAGAUAGACCCGAAGCCGUAGUGAUCUAGUCAUGAGCAGGUUGAAGGCUGGGUGAAUCCAGCUGGAGGACCGAACCGACCCCCGUUGAAAAGUUGGCGGAUGACUUGUGAUUAGCGGAGAAAUUCCAAUCGAACACGGCGAUAGCUGGUUCUCCCCGAAAUAGCUUUAGGGCUAGCGUUGAACGAAUCUACCCGGAGGUAGAGCACUGAAAUCAUGCGGGCGGCAUCUCGCCGUACCAAAUGAUAUCAAACUCCGAAUGCCGGGCAAGAAUAUUCAGCAGUCAGACUGUGGGUGAUAAGGUCCAUGGUCAAAAGGGAAACAGCCCAGAUCAUCAGAUAAGGUCCCAAAAUUUACGCUAAGUGGAAAAGGAUGUGGAGACGCGCAAACAGCUAGGAGGUUGGCUCAGAAGCAGCCAUCCUUCAAAGAGUGCGUAACAGCUCACUAGUCGAGUAUCUCUGCGCCGAAAAUUAACCGGGGCUAAGCGUAAUACCGAAUCUAUGGAUUUAUACUUAGGUAUAAGUGGUAGGGGAGCGUUCCAUACAGCAUUGAAGGUAUACCGUAAGGAGUGCUGGAGCGUAUGGAAGUGAGAAUGCCGGUGUGAGUAGCGAGAUGUGGGUGAGAAUCCCACACACCGAACAACCAAGGUUUCCAGGGGAAGGUUCGUCCGCCCUGGGUAAGUCGGGACCUAAGGCCAGGCCGAAAGGCGUAGUCGAUGGACAGCAGGUUGAUAUUCCUGCACCCGCGAGUAAAGUGAUGGAGUGACAGAUAGGGUUAACCCAAGUCCUUACUGGAUUGGGCAAGGCAAGCAGGAGAGUGGCGUAGGCAAAUCCGCGUCGGAUACUCAAAGGCUUGACUCAAGCGAACGCGCGAGCAAGUAGUGAAGAGGGCGAUACCAGGUCUCAAGAAAAGCUUCUAGCGAUAAUUUACUAGCGGCCCGUACCAAAACCGACACAGGUGGUUGAGGCGAGUAGCCUAAGGUGAGCGAGAGAACUGUUGCCAAGGAACUCGGCAAAUUGACCCCGUACGUUAGCAAUAAGGGGUGCUCGAAAGAGCCGCAGUGAAUAGGCCCUAGCAACUGUUUAACUAAAACAUAGCUCUCUGCGAAGUCGCAAGACGAAGUAUAGGGGGUGACACCUGCCCGGUGCUGGAAGGUCAAGGGGAUUUGUCAGACGCAAGUCGAAGCAUUGAACCGAAGCCCCAGUGAACGGCGGCCGUAACUAUAACGGUCCUAAGGUAGCGAAAUUCCUUGUCGGGUAAG
rnacentral:rRNA from 1 species